AUGGUCUACCUCCCGCCCCACCGGCGCCACUCCAGCAGUUCCGAGCCCGCCCCAACCCCUUUCCCGCCCAUCUCCUCCCUCCAGUCCCUCUCCAUCUCCUCCCCUCGCGGUCGCGGGCGUCACCACCUCCGCCCGUCCAACAACAAGAUCAUCCAUACCGCGGGCUGCGUGUCCCGCUGGUCCCCGAUCCCGCCCUUCCCCCUCGGCUCCGACGAUGCCGAAUCUUUCCGCCUCGUUCCCUUCCCCUGCGAUCCCAUCGAGCGCGAGACCGGCGCCAAGCCCCUCGUCCUCGCCCUCUCCUCCCCGAAAAACUCCUCCGACUCCGCAGAGGCCGCGGUCGCGGCCAUCGUCGAGAGGUUCUUGCCGGAUCUCCUAGCCGCGGCGGAGAGGGCGAGGGCGACGGCGCACGAUGCGCCCACGGAAGACGAGGAGGUAAAACUGAGCCUCGUGGCAAGGGUGGGCAAGGUUCUGUUCCAACCCGGACCUAGCGGCGGACCCGUCUCCCUGGACUCUGUUCGCGACGCAGCAAAAGCAGGGGCAGAAGGAUUGAAGAGCCAGGUCCGUAAGUCGUUCUAUACGAAUUUGCCUGGCAAGUGUGUGGAUGAGAUUGGGAUGUAUAUUGGGAAGCUGACCGAUCUGAAGUUCGAUUCAUCAAAAAAGCACUACCAUGUCAAGGUGUUUGACAAGCAGCGAAGUGAUACGACGAUGUCUUGCAAAUGCACUGUGCAAGAGGAUGGGAAGCUUGUGAUCCACAAGGUUGAAUUGAACCAGAUACGGCAGCUGGUGGAGGACAUAUCCUGCCUGUCCAAAGAUUUUGAUUUAAGGUUGAUGUUGCGUACAAAAAGGAUCCUGAAGAACAUAGACCCUGAAGUGGAAAAUGCCAUAAAGAGCUUAGUGUCUUCAGCUAUUGUUGAUCCUGAUGCCAAAGGGGGACUUAAAUGGCCACUUGGGAAUGAGUCGAUUGGUGAGAGGUUCAGCAUAGUUGGGGUGUGGCAUACAAGCUAUAGUGCUUUCAGGAAUAAAACCUUAAGGUUGAAGCUCAGGUGUGCUGACCGGUUUGACCACCGGACCUCCACUGGAGAGAUUUCCAAUGAAGUUACCUUCAAACUAACUGGCAUAUCUGAGAGACUGCAGGAUGGGAAUGAAGAGGUGGACACUCUGAAGGGGAUGCUGGAGUCUGUGGUGCAGAUGAUCUGGGACAUUGUUUUGAGCUACAAGAUCUAG
rnacentral:rRNA from 1 species